rnacentral:tRNA from 13 species
UGACCCGGACGUGAUUUGAACACGCAGCCUUCUGAUCUGGAGCCAGACGCGCUACCGUUGCGGCAUCGAGUC